rnacentral:rRNA from 1 species
UACAAAGGUGGCAAGCGUUGUUCGGAAUUACUGGGCGUAAAGGGCGCGUAGGCGGUACUUCAAGUCAGGCGUGAAAGCCCCGGGCUCAACCUGGGAACCGCGCUUGAGACUGGAGAACUAGAGUUCGGGAGAGGAUGGUGGAAUUCCCAGUGUAGAGGUGAAAUUCGUAGAUAUUGGGAAGAACACCGAUGGCGAAGGCAGCCAUCUGGACCGACACUGACGCUGAGGCGCGAAAGCGUGGGGAGCAAACAGG